rnacentral:rRNA from 1 species
CCUGGCUCAGGAUGAACGCUAGCGACAGGCUUAACACAUGCAAGUCGAGGGGCAGCGGAGGCAGUAGCAAUACUGCCUGCCGGCGACCGGCGCACGGGUGAGUAACACGUAUGCAACCUACCCUUGUCAGGGGGAUAAGCCGGAGAAAUCCGGUCUAAUACCGCGUGACAUCGGGAUUCCGCAUGGGAUUCCGAUCAAAGGAGCAAUCCGGACAAGGAUGGGCAUGCGGCGCAUUAGCUAGUUGGCGGGGUAACGGCCCACCAAGGCGACGAUGCGUAGGGGUUCUGAGAGGAAGGCCCCCCACACUGGUACUGAGACACGGACCAGACUCCUACGGGAGGCAGCAGUGAGGAAUAUUGGUCAAUGGGCGCGAGCCUGAACCAGCCAAGUCGCGUGAGGGAAUAAGGUCCUAUGGAUUGUAAACCUCUUUUGUCGGGGAGCAAUGAGCGUCACGCGUGAUGCGUUGAGAGUACCCGAAGAAAAAGCAUCGGCUAACUCCGUGCCAGCAGCCGCGGUAAU